rnacentral:tRNA from 1 species
UUUUUUAUGGUGUAAAAUAACACAUUGAAUUUUCAUUUCAGAGAUGGGGAAGUGGGCCUCUAAGGUUC